GUGCCAGCCGCUGCGGUAAUACGGAGGGUGCAAGCGUUAAUCGGAAUUACUGGGCGUAAAGCGCACGCAGGCGGUUGGUUAAGUCAGAUGUGAAAUCCCCGGGCUCAACCCGGGAACUGCAUCUGAUACUGGUCAGCUUGAGUCUCGUAGAGGGAGGUAGAAUUCCAGGUGUAGCGGUGAAAUGCGUAGAGAUCUGGAGGAAUACCGGUGGCGAAGGCGGCCUCCUGGACGAAGACUGACGCUCAGGUGCGAAAGCGUGGGGAGCAAACAGGAUUAGAUACCCUGGUAGUCCACGCUGUAAACGAUGUCGAUUUGGAGGUUGUGCCCAUGAGGCGUGGCUUCCGGAGCUAACGCGUUAAAUCGACCGCCUGGGGAGUACGGCCGCAAGGUUAAAACUCAAAUGAAUUGACGGGGCCCGCACAAGCGGUGGAGCAUGUGGUUUAAUUCGAUGCAACGCGAAGAACCUUACCUGGUCUUGACAUCCACAGAAG
rnacentral:rRNA from 1 species